UUACGGCCAUAUUAGAUUCAAAAACCGGUUCUCGUCAGAAUACCGAAGUUAAGCAACAUAGAGCCUGCUCAUUACCUAGAUGGGUAACAGCUUGGGAAUACUAGGUGCUGUAAG